AGGAUCAUUGUCGAAAUCUGCAAUGCAGAAUGACCUGCGAACAAGUGAAAAAUCACGGUUGAAAGGCUCAAGGGUUUCCUUAGCCUCUGAACUGAUUGUUGGGGGGAGUGGUCGGGCCUUGUGUCCCCCCUGUCCCUCUCACGAUCUCAAUCAACACACCUCAGCGCGGAAUGCGCCAAGGAAAACUAACACAAGGUACGCUACCCCUUGCACCGUAAAUGGUUGUGUGUGGCCUGCGUAUUUUGCUUAAUCUAAUGUUACGACGACUCUCGGCAACGGAUAUCUUGGCUCUCGCAUCGAUGAAGAACGUAGCAAAAUGCGAUAGCUGGUGUGAAUUGCAGAAUCCCGUGAACCAUCGAGUCUUUGAACGCAAGUUGCGCCUGAAGCCGUCAGGCCAAGGGCACGCCUGCCUGGGUGUCACCCUCCCCAUUGCCCAAGUAGUAACACGCCUCGUCCCACUGAAAAAUGGGAAGAGUGAUGAUGGGCGGAUAAAUGGCCUCCCAUGGCGAAUAUUUCGUGGUUGGCCCAAAGUUAGCACCAGGCUUAGGAAGCCACGACAAGCAUUGGCGAAAAUCUACGGUGAUUCAUCGAUCGUUUUUGUUGUGGUUAGACUUUGUAGCGUGCCAUAAAAUACCUCGGUGCCUUGCAU
rnacentral:rRNA from 1 species